AGUGCCACAAGAGGGAGCUCGUAGGCGGGCUGAGAGGAAGUCAUCAACUUCGACCUUUAUAACCUGAUUUGGGUAAUGCCAACGUAGGGAUUUAUAUGGGAUGAUUGU
rfam:Clostridium saccharolyticum WM1, complete genome.